rnacentral:rRNA from 1 species
UGCAAGUCGAACGGUAACGACACUAGCUUGCUAGUGGUCGACGAGUGGCGGACGGGUGAGUAACGCGUAGGAAUCUACCUAGUAGUGGGGGAUAGCCAAGGGAAACUUUGGGUAAUACCGCAUACGAUCUAAGGAUGAAAGGGGGCCUCUCUUUGAAGCUCUCGCUAUUAGAUGAGCCUGCGUAAGAUUAGCUUGUUGGUGGGGUAAUGGCUCACCAAGGCGACGAUCUUCAGCUGGUCUGAGAGGAUGAUCAGUCACACUGGAACUGAGACACGGUCCAGACUCCUACGGGAGGCAGCAGUCGGGAAUAUUGGACAAUGGGGGAAACCCUGAUCCAGCCAUGCCGCGUGUGUGAAGAAGGCCCUAGGGUUGUAAAGCACUUUUAGUAGUGAGGAAGGCUCGGUAGUUAAUACCUACCGGGAUUGACGUUAGCUACAGAAAAAGCACCGGCUAAUUUCGUGCCAGCAGCCGCGGUAAUACGAAAGGUGCAAGCGUUAAUCGGAAUUACUGGGCGUAAAGCGCGCGUAGGCGGCUUGGUAAGUUGGAUGUGAAAGCCCCGGGCUCAACCUGGGAACUGCAUCCAAAACUGCCUAGCUAGAGUAUGGUAGAGGAUGGCGGAAUUUCCUGUGUAGCGGUGAAAUGCGUAGAUAUAGGAAGGAACAUCAGUGGCGAAGGCGGCCAUCUGGACCAAUACUGACGCUGAGGUGCGAAAGCGUGGGGAGCAAACAGGAUUAGAUACCCUGGUAGUCCACGCCGUAAACGAUGAGAACUAGCCGUUGGACAUCUUGCAUGUUUAGUGGCGCAGCUAACGCGAUAAGUUCUCCGCCUGGGGAGUACGGCCGCAAGGUUAAAACUCAAAUGAAUUGACGGGGGCCCGCACAAGCGGUGGAGCAUGUGGUUUAA